UACGUAGGGUGCAAGCGUUUAUCCGGAAUUAUUGGGCGUAAAGAGCUCGUAGGCGGUUUGUCGCGUCUGCUGUGAAAACUGGAGGCUCAACCUCCAGCCUGCAGUGGGUACGGGCAGACUAGAGUGCGGUAGGGGAGAUUGGAAUUCCUGGUGUAGCGGUGGAAUGCGCAGAUAUCAGGAGAACACCAAUGGCGAAGGCAGAUCUCUGGGCCGUAACUGACGCUGAGGAGCGAAAGCAUGGGGAGCGAA
rnacentral:rRNA from 1 species